AUCGCUUCUCGGCCUUCGCCAAGAUCUGGCGUGUAGUAUCUGUUCUUAUCAGUUUAAUAUCUGAUAUGUCCUCAUAGAGGACUACUGCCAAGCAGAUUUUGGCAUGAGGGGCAGAAAUUUGGAGCUUGCUCCUUUUCACGCAUCGACCUAGCAUUGCAGUGCCGCUGGGAACGGUGCACUCUGU